UAGUGAGGCCUCCUGACUGGCGCCGAUACUCUGGCAACAGAGCGCCGGAUGCCGGAAAGUUGGUCAAACUUGAUCAUUUAGAGGAAGUAAAAGUCGUAACAAGGUUUCCGUAGGUGAACCUGCGGAAGGAUCAUUACCGAUACCGUCCAAGAAAAAAACAACUCUCCGUUGUUUUUUUGCCCUGUGAACCGUACCCAAUCGUUUAGGGGUCGGCCUGGCCGUUAAAUGGCGAGCGGACGCGAGGCAAUGCCCGCGGCCGGCCUCGCCAGCCCCGCCUGUGUAUUUUUAACGUACGUGUCUACGGUCUGAUGUUGCGGCCUGACGAGGGCCGAGAGUUGGAAAUGCGAGAGACAACUUUUGACGGUGGAUCUCUUGGCUCACGCAUCGAUGAAGAACGCAGCCAGCUGCGAUAAGUAGUGUGAAUUGCAGAAUUCAGUGAAUCAUCGAAUCUUUGAACGCAAAUGGCGCUCUUGGGUUCUCCCAGGAGCAUGUCUGUCUGAGUGUCGGAUAUCAUCCAUCGCAAGCACGGUGCGCCCGCCCGUGCUGGCGGCGUUGAGGCGUCACGGCCGCCGCACAGUGUCGGCCGUGUCCCUUGAAAGGCAGAGAGACUCGCCGCGGUCCGUGGGUAUCUUCAUUCCCGCGGCGCACCAGCGGAGGCCAAAAAGUGUUGGCAGUCCUUCGCGCGCCGCCGGGGCCCCGCCGCGCGAGUCGUCCAGGCGAGACAUCUAUCUAUCUUUCUUGACCUCAGAUCAGGCAAGGCUACCCGCUGAAUUUAAGCAUA
rnacentral:misc_RNA from 1 species